UGUGGGAAACGAUUUUAAAAAAGAUUUUCUGCUUUUCAUGAUUCUAGUAUUUCAAAAUAAGUUUCUGGGUGGAAAAUAUUUUAAAUUAAUAGAUGUGGAUUUACGAAUGAAACAUUGUAAUUUUGUGAUGUAGUAAAUGUAUAUGGUUUGUAUAUGUUUGUGGUUGUACUUGUACUCGUGCGACGCCGUGCAAAUAUAGGGAAGACGCUGUCCGUGUGAAUAGUAGAUUUUCUGUAUUUAUAGCGGGUCUGUCAUCCCUUGG
rnacentral:lncRNA from 1 species